GCUUUUGUAGCUCAGUUGGUAGAGCACACCCUUGGUAAGGGUGAGGUCGGCAGUUCGAAUCUGCUCAAAAGCUCCA
rnacentral:tRNA from 2 species